UCCUCUUCUCUUCUCUUUUCUUUUCUUUCCUUUUCUUUUUUGAAGCAGGGUCUCUUGUAGCCCAGGUUAGCCUCAGACUCUCUAUGUAGCUGAGUGGGACUUGAUGACUUUGCACUUCGAUCAUGCCGUCUACACCUCCUAGGUUCUUGGCUUACAGGUCCGCACCAUACCACACCCAGCUCUGUGAGGUUCUGAAUGGAGAGCCAACCUAAGGCUUCCCGGACACUGGGCGAGCAUUCUGCCAACUACUGAUCUAUGCAAGUGUCUGCAGCACCUUCAGGCUCCAACAGUCAACUGCCCUGUACUGAGGGUCUGCCACGGCACGGACACUGCUGGUGGAUAGAGUAACCAACUGCUUCCUGAUAAUACUCUGAGCCAUUUGCGCAAUGAGGAACAGAAACCCUAACUAAGACACCUGGGUUCUUCUAAGAACAGUGGAUGCCAAAGGCCCUCAAACUUCAAGCAGAAGAGAGGACAGUUGCGGCAGGAUUUGUUUCUGCUCACUAGUUCACUCUUGUUCUUGGGAACACCCUUCCUUUCUUAAUGAGCUACCCC
rnacentral:lncRNA from 1 species